UCUACGGGAGGCAGCAGUGGGGAAUAUUGGACAAUGGGCGAAAGCCUGAUCCAGCCAUGCCGCGUGUGUGAAGAAGGCCUUCGGGUUGUAAAGCACUUUCAGUGGGGAAGAAAGCCUUGGGGCUAAUACCCUCGAGGAAGGACAUCACCCACAGAAGAAGCACCGGCUAACUCCGUGCCAGCAGCCGCGGUAAUACGGAGGGUGCGAGCGUUAAUCGGAAUUACUGGGCGUAAAGCGCGCGUAGGCGGUCUGAUAAGCCGGUUGUGAAAGCCCCGGGCUCAACCUGGGAACGGCAUCCGGAACUGUCAGGCUAGAGUGCAGGAGAGGAAGGUAGAAUUCCCGGUGUAGCGGUGAAAUGCGUAGAGAUCGGGAGGAAUACCAGUGGCGAAGGCGGCCUUCUGGACUGACACUGACGCUGAGGUGCGAAAGCGUGGGUAGCAAACAGGAUUAGAAACCCCAGUAGUC
rnacentral:rRNA from 1 species